rnacentral:lncRNA from 1 species
GUGUAUUGAUUUCUCAAAAUAAAAAUCACUCACUUUGUAUGAAUGAAAUUACAAAUUAAUCUUUCAAAAUCAAUGCCCCAUUUGUGUAUGAAACUUUUGGAACAUAGUGGGCAUUCAAUUGAUAGCCGUGGAUCGAUCUUUUAAUGAAAUCUCCUCUUACUAAUAAAAUCUUGAUGAAAUACCAAAUUUUCAUAAGUGGAUACUAUGAAGAAGGUAUCGUCGCCUUGAUUUCAUUGUAAGAGGCGGCUUUAUUGAAAGAUCAAUUUUUCAUCCAUUUACUGACAUUAUCUUCCUUUCGCAGGUCAUGCGUGACAACCAUUCCUUGAACUCCUCUUGCUUGACCAUGCCAAAAGUGGACUUUAAAGCUAGGAUGAGAAUUGUGCUUAUUAUGAUCCUCUACGAAAGAGCUUCUUGUACUUUAUCAUUGUCAUUAGAAACCGUGUUUUGCAUUUUGGGUUUUAAUUGUGAACCCAAUCAAAUGCUUUUGUAAAUCAUACAACUCACAUUUUUUAAUAAUGAAAUUAGAGUUCAUAAAAGUUAUAUUCUUUAAAACACUUGAAGUGUUUCAAACGGACCCCUUUGGGCUGAGUUUUAUGCCUUAGCUUCAAAAUGUGUGAAAAUGAGUUUCAAGAAGAACUUGUGUAAUACUUUAUCUCUUCACUUAAUCGCUUUUGCAGGUUGAUCCGUAGAACAAUGCUUUGAGGGGGUAAGGUUGUAAUCGUUCCAAUAGGGAUUUCUUGCGCAACAACUAACUUAGUCAUCAAUUUUUGUCAAACAGACAAAAUGACGGUUUUGUUCAAGAUUGACAAAAGUGCGGGCCUUUCCCUAAUAGAGCAAGUCAUGAGAUGCACCAAUUCAUGCUCAUUUAUGGGCAUAUUUCGUUGAGCCAUGAACUACUUAAAUAUUUUCGCAACAUAUGAAUUCAAACAUUGUGAUUAAGUGUGAAAAGAAUCAUUAGGGCCUUGAAGAUCACAAAUCUACUGGUCUAAUGAAGUUCCACAUCCUGGACGACCUCAUAUUAAUUUGACAUUCUUCGUGGAAGAAGAAAUUUGUAGACAUUCUUUGGCAACAAACUACUUCGUUGGUUGCGAACAAGAAGCAUCUGCAAUCCCUACACUUCCAACGGUUUCUUGGCAUCCAAUCCUGUAUGGAGAUGAUUAUUGGUGGUAUGCAAGACAACACUUCAAGAUGUAGAUGUACACAAACAAGAAUCGGUCAUCAAAUGUUGCCUUCAAAUAAAAGGUGGUAAUCGUUUCAAGUUAAAUUCGAUUUAUUUUAGGAAUGACUUGUCCUUGCACUUUGUGCAGAUUUUAGUGAGGCAAAUUACUG